GAUGAACGCUGGCGGCGUGCCUAAUACAUGCAAGUCGAGCGAAGCGGGGACGGGUGAGUAACACGUGGAUAACCUCCUAUAAGACUGGGUUAACUUCGGGAAACCGGAGCUAAACCGGAUAUUUAUAGACUGAUCCGCGUUGCAUUAGCUAGUUGGUACGGUAACGGCUUACCAAGGCAACGAUGCAUCGCCGACCUGAGAGGGUGAGCGAGCACACUGGAGCUGAGACAAGGUCCAGACUCCUACGAGAGGCAGCAGUAGGGAAUCUGCCGCAAUGGGCGAAAGCCUGACGGAGCAACACCGCGUAAGUGAAGAAGGUCUUCGGAUCGUAAAACUCUGUUAUUAGGAGAGCGGUACCUAAUCAGAAAGCCGCGGCUAACUACGUGCCAGCCGCCGCGGUAAUAC
rnacentral:rRNA from 1 species